CAGGUCAGUAGUUGAAGUACAGGUCAGUAGUUAUAGUCCAGGUCAGUAGUUAUAGUACAGGUCAGUAGUUAUAGUACAGGUCAGUAGUUAUAGUACAGGUCAGUAGUUAUAGUACAGGUCGGUAGUUAUAGUACAGGUCAGUAGUUAUAGUACAGGUCAGUAGUACAGGUCAGUAGUACAGGUCAGUAGUCCAGGUCAGUAGUCCAGGUCAGUAGUUCAGG